AUUAUAUAACACAUUAUAUUCUGAAAAGUGUAGCGCAUGGCUGCUGAGUGUGAUGUGGUCAUCACUAAAAGAAAAACCAUGUGAGGAAUGUUCUCGCGGUUCCACUGCUGCCAUUUAAAAUGAAUCUUCUUGUCGUCUUCAUAGCUUCCCUCUUAAAUGUCACCACAACUUACUGAGGAAGGAAACCGGCUGGAAAGGGACGCUGGCUCCCCAGGAGAUUUAUUUGUUUUCUGUGCCCGGGUGUCUGGCCUGCCUGUAUGUAUGUGCACCACAGGAGAGCUUGGUGCCUGAGGAGGUCAGAAGAAAGCACAGAGGCCCUGGAACCGAGUUGUGGAUGCUUGUGAGUCACCACAUGGGUGCUGAGCAUAGAAACUGGGUCCUCUACAAGAGAAGAAUUUAAAGAAAAUUAACAUCCAAAGAUGAGUGUAAAGACCUGUGUGUGAACACGUUUACUGAAGUUCAACUGUUCAUCACAACAGAAGAGACUGGGGGUGGAAGGAGCACAAGUCGGGGGAAGGAGGACAGAGAAACAUGAUUUAAAAACAAUUUUUGUUUAGGAAAUGCCAUAAUCAGACCAACACUUU